AACGAACGCUGGCGGCAGGCCUAACACAUGCAAGUCGAGCGCGCCUUCGGGUGAGCGGCGGACGGGUUAGUAACGCGUGGGAAUAUGCCCGGUACUAGGGAAUAGCCACUGGAAACGGUGAGUAAUACCUUAUACGCCUUUCGGGGGAAAGAUUUAUCGGUAUCGGAUUAGCCCGCGUUAGAUUAGGUAGUUGGUGGGGUAAUGGCCUACCAAGCCUACGAUCUAUAGCUGGUUUUAGAGGAUGAUCAGCAACACUGGGACUGAGACACGGCCCAGACUCCUACGGGAGGCAGCAGUGGGGAAUCUUGGACAAUGGGGGCAACCCUGAUCCAGCCAUGCCGCGUGAACGAUGAAGGCCUUAGGGUUGUAAAGUUCUUUCAGCAGGGACGAUAAUGACGGUACCUGCAGAAGAAGCCCCGGCUAACUCCGUGCCAGCAGCCGCGGU
rnacentral:rRNA from 1 species